rnacentral:pre_miRNA from 15 species
UUUAAGUGGGUCCCAGAGACCUUGGUGGUUUUUCUCUGCAGUGAUAGAUACUUCUAACAACUCGCUAUCACCGGGUGAAAAAUCACCUAGGUCUGGAGCCUCCU